GCCACUGGCAAGCUACGCAAUUCCCCAUAUUCCUCAGUCAACUAGGGAUGGCUGGGUAAUCUUCACCUGGCCUGAGCGACCUUUCUAGCCUUGGCUCUCACGGCCCCUCCUCUACACUCCAAGCCAUUACCAAACCACAGUGUAACUGCCACCAACCCCUGACUCAACCUGCCUGACCAGAAUGUCUUCUGCCACCUGACCCCCGAAGUCUCUUACUUUCACCUCAACAGCUAAGGGAGUCAUAAUAAAGCUGAGGAGGCCAGCGGCCACUCACAGGUGAAGGCUUCCCCAAACACAGAGACCCUUUGUCACUGCCGAUCCUUUCAAGCCGCGGCUGUGCUUGCUCAGGAAGAAGAGGUUUCUACUGAGAACACCUGACCCGGAAAACUAGCUUAGUUAAACUGAAAGUGGAGCAGAGAAAUAGCCCCCCGAGUCCUCCUACAGCAUACCAGCUGGAACAGCCACCACAGGGCACCAGGGUGUGCUGCCUUCAUCAUAUAGGUCUUCUCCCUAAUCCAAUUCCAUGCUGUCGGGGUUACCGAAAGCAGAAAAUGACACACUAAGUGCUUCACAUUUGCCAAAGUCUGACCCACACUGCAGCCGGGGCAAACCACUGCCUGCACACAGCCCCGAAAAAAAGCCAAAGCACCGGGUCACCACGUCCCUACAUAAAAGCGCUCAUUUUCUGUCAGCUGUGACUCGGGAGCAGAAGCACAGACGUCCCUAAUUUGUGCAGGGCUGAGUCUGCAGAAAGCACGGGGCCUCCGGGAACAUGGAAAUCAGGUGAGGUUGUUUUGUCCACCCAGCAGAGGCCAAUGGGGACACAGGCGCAGCGGUCACUUUCCCGGUCCGUGUUCGGUGGGAACAGCUCUCUAACUUUCUCUUUUCGGUUUUGAAACUUUCUGUCUUUCUCUGAGCCUUGGCAUGAUUAACGGAGACUGACUCCCUACCUCCCCGCCAGCCGAGCUCAGUGUGUGCCGCUACUGUGCGGCGCGGCACCGGGCCUGCCUGAAGGGUGGCUGUGAGAGCUCGCAGGCUUCGACCCGCCGCGGUGACCCGCCGAUAAGGCUAGCUGGCCGUCGCGCGGCUAGGAGAAGCAGGGAAGACAGAGCUGGAAGGCAAGGGAACUGUAGCUUCCAAACCCUAAUUCGGACACCAACGUGUUAGGCAAGGACAGCGGGAGAGGCCGAGGGGACAAAUGAAAGUGGUUCCCUGCAGGGGAGUAGAGACGGUCACCUACCUGGGGCCUGGGGGAACUGAAUAGACCAGACCUCCCCCACCUCCCAGACGUCAACACUUUACCAGAGCGGGCCUCCAGGUAGAAAUAGGGGGUCCCCGGGGCGGUAAGGGGACCGGGACGUAUUAGGAAGCCGGGUCGGGUCAUCUCCCGCCGGCUCCGCACCUGAGCAGAGCAAAUGGUGUCCCAUUACCAUACGCUACGCGGGAGGGAAAGGACGCUCUGAGAGGCAGCAGAUCCAGAAUUGGGGUAGCAAGCACGGAGAUCGGGGCGAGGGAGGAGAGCGGAGGGGACCCGAACCCGAACUUACCCGGCCGUUGCGGUCAGUCUCUUGUACCUCCUCGGAACUCAGCCCGCGCUGCACUAGCGCCCGCAGCAGCCCCACGUCGUUGAUGCAGGCAGCACGCAGGAGGGUCGCCGCCUCGGGGACGCCCUCCGGGACGCACUCCGCACUCGCCGCGCCGCACUCCUCCUCCCCUCCGGGAGGAUAGAAGGAAUCGUCUGAUGCUAUGCUGCGGGAGUCAGGCAGACUCGAGAAGUCCUCGUAUUCCUCGUAGUCCCCUGGGUCGUCCCCUGUCUGCGCGUCCCGGGGUGGCGUCGGCGACUGCGGAGACGACAAGCAGCGUGUCCCGCCGCCCUCCGGCCCGGGCCCAGCCAGCAGCACCAUGCUGGAGGCCUAGGCGCGGGCCGGGGGCUGGGGUUCGGGUUAGGGGACCCGGACUCGGGACUCGCCCCGAAGUCACCGAUUCUGGCGCCUAGCGUUCGCAGAAAAGCCAGGGGCCCCGCGCGUUCCGACCCGGCGGAAAGCGGCGCCAGGCGGCUGCGCUCCCGAAGCAAAGUCACUGGCGACUGGAGAAAAGCCCCUGGGGUGGGAGGAGCCGCGGGGGCUUUCCCUGCGCUGCGGGGAGGGGUGGUAUCUGGGCAGUGGGCGGGACGCCUUCCCAGCUGGAGUCAGGAGCUCAGCGGGGGGUCCCUCUCCUGACCCCGCCUCUGCCACCCGGUCGCUUUGUCCCGCAGCAAGGAAAGGCACGCGCCGGAGAACCCGAAGCUGAAACUCGAGAGACUGAAAGCCAACGUGAGGGACAGCGGGCGCCCCGCCCCUCCCAGGGCCGCUCCCUGGGGACCCCGGUGUUGAUCGGGUCCCGGGACACCAAAGGCUGAAUGCGUUUCCAGCGUCGGAAAGUACCGGUCCCUGGAGACCUACCCCCUUCUCACUCCCCCCCCCCCCCCCCCAGUUCAUCGUGAUCAGCCCCCGGGCGGGAGGAGGGGCACUUUCGCCUGCUGCCACAGAACCAGUCACCUCCGAGGCAGCCAGAGCUCUAGGGCCAGUCGCACUUGGGAGACUGUCCUACCGGGCUUUUGCAGCACCAAAGGGCGUCCACUCUGGGGCUGGCGGUGGAGCCAUCCACUUUGGAGGAAACUCCACCUUGGGAGAACCUGCCCUAGCGACGACCAUGAUCCAAAUAGGGACUGGAUGUGGAUUUGGGAAAACUAACCCGAAGGGGAGGCGGGGUCUGCGGAGUCCCCAAGUAAGGCAGACCGGAGCAGGCUGCGUGCAGCUGGAUGGUUGGUCGGAAAGGGAUCUUGGAGAGAUGGAGAGGUGAUCAGGAACCUAAGGGGAGGAUGUCUAGGUGAGGAGGGACAGCACCCCGGCCGGAGCUGUGAGGGACUCCACUCUCCCCCAUCCCUGACCAUUGUCACUUGAGGGGGACCUAAUGGAUCCUGGCAGGUGAGAAAAAGAAGGGUUUGAUCCCAGGGCUGCAGCCAAACACUUUGGAAAUUGCGACCACUGGCCACGGACACCACCGAGUGUCAAUAGCACCCUACUGCCCUUUGCCCAUCUGUCCCGGUGGCUGUUUGUCGGGAAGCGUGUGUAAGGAUUUGUCACCUGGAGCCCCUCACUUUGAGGAGGAGGUGGUGUAUCCCUGUUCUAGGGGACAUCCCGGUUGUGUCUCACGAGACGAUGAGAAGCCCCUCACUUCUCUCCCUCCCUCCACUGCGUCCUUCUCUUCUUUUCUACCGAUCUUGACAGCGUGCCCACCAGGCGCACCAGCCUGUGAGCGGCUGAAAAGUGAACAAAACCGAGACUCUGCCGGGCAAGACGAAGGGACCCUGGAUGCAGGAGAGCGAGUCGAAGGACAUAGUGGGAAAGCGCAUGCAGUGUAUGCUCCAACUGGCACUGUAGGCUGAGAGACGUUUGACCCUCGAGGUCCUAGAGUAGUUCCUGGUGCCACCCGCACUGGGCCAGUCACACUGUCGUGGUCACAGGAGCUGGUGUACUCGGGGCUUUCUUUCUAAAAAGCACCCACCAUCCCCAGUCACGGUUCAACUUCUCCCCGCGUCUGUAACUGCCCCCAGCUGCGUAUAUUCCCACUGGGAAUUUCCCCUUUCCAGGUCGACUUUUGUUACAGGGACCCAGGGGAUUUACAAGGUCCAGCUGCCGGCCACCACCAUCCCCUGUGUAUUACAGUGGCCUUGGUGGUGCUGGCUUGCUGACUUUACUCUCCUCCCAGCUUGACAGAGGGUUGUUUUAAAUCCGCAUUCCACCAUCACCACCCCAAAGCCACUUUGGGGGAACAGGGCUGUUUCUGAGGACCGGGGAGAAGAUAAACGUACUGCAACCUUGGCAGGGGGAGGUGUCCUGAGCCAGCUGCAGUUUAUCAUCGCUGAAGGGGAGGGGCACUGUUGGUUUUCCACUUCCUCUUUUCUUUCUCAGAAAUUCAGGUCCAUAUAGUGCUAGAAUCUUUUGUCAUUUAAAGAUAAGCAAGAAUGGGAUUAGGGUACAGCUCACUGGUGCCUGCCUAGCAUGCCUAAGGCUAUAUAGGUUUGGUCCCCAGCACUUGAGGGGUGGGAGGAAUAAAACAACUCCAAA